CAUUCUCGCCACUCCCCUCGUCCCGACGCGCUCGUCUCCCUUCCUCCCUCCCUUCCCAGACGCCCGCCGCCGCCGCCAAAUCUCCCGUCCACCACCACAGCUGCCAUGAAUCCAGCCUUCUCGGCCGCCGGCGACGCACCCUCUGCCGGUGAAUAGCUCCUUCGUCGACGCCCCGUCCCUCAUCCUCUUUACUCAGGAUUUCACGGCAACGCACCCUCCGCCGUCGACUCCCCGUCCCUCAUCCUUCGAGAUCUCAACUCCUUCAGCACACCUCCCUCCAGUCACCGACCAGAUCCAGACAGUAGAUCGACUUCUUGACGACUCCUCCGCCAACCCAUGGUUGGUCAGCUCGCCUCCUCUCUCCGUGGUCUCUGUUUUGUCAAGCCUCAUACCAAACUGCUUGGUAAUCCUAUCAUGUAUUGCCAUGGUGAUAGACUGGUGAUUAGUACAUACCCUCAGAAUUGAUAUGACUGGUGAUCACUUGCUUUAGAUAUGAUUAGUAGAUACCCAUGCACUUGUUUUGUUCAGUUUCAUGUCCCAGCAAAUUAAACCAUGCAUCAGAUUUGGGAACGAAAACAGAUAGUGGCCUGCAGGCUAUAAUAACAAGAUAUUUGUUCACUACAUAAUCUAGGAGCAUUGCUCGAAAUAAUUCAAGUUCCUUGUUUGAACUUCCCCACUACCGGACUAUUAAAUUUAUGUAAGCCACUAUGUGACCAGUAUGUGAUAAAAUUCUAGCGCUCUGCUUACUGUAUAUGAGCAGACUCUGUUUACUAGUUAUUCUAAUGAGGCCUCUGAAGUUUUGUUCUUCUUUCUCUUUACAAUACUGCACAACAUUUGUCUCCAUAGGCUGGUCUUAAUAAAUAAAUAAAAUGGUCCUUACUAGUUGAGACAAAAGGAUGAUUGCAGCGAUGCUAGUCUCUGUUGUUUGCUGUCUGAAGCCUAAUUUUCCCCAGCUUCAGAAUUCUUAUCCAACUUAAUGCAUGAGAAAAUCUUCCGCUGGCAUUAUAUAUACACUAUAUAUACAUGCUAUGUUCUGUCAUUAUAUAUACACAGUCCUAUGUCAUUAUAUAUACACAAUUUAUGGGCUUUUUUCACUAUGAGCUAGGCAUGUACAGAAGCAAUGAGCAUGAGUUUUUUGUGUACCACUAGUAAUCAAGCUUGAGUGCUUUCUCAAUUGUUGUUUUCUUCAUCUUAAUAUAGAUGUCGGACUUGCACAUUAACACAUUGCAUGACGAUGAGAGGAGAAAGAAAAGGAAGAGGGCAGCUGCUGGAUUUUUUGUGUCGGUUGUCGCGAUAGUUCAACACACAUAUUGUCAGAGGAAGAUUAGAGAGCUUGAUGAUUUCAGUGAGGAUGAGGCAGAGAUUAGGAUUAGAAUGCAGAUGCUUAGAUCAAUUUAUCAGGGUUCUAACAAGCACUGUUUUGAUAGUUUGCGCCUAACUAAACCGUCCUUUGUGGACCUGUGCGCUAUCUUGCGUGAAAGAUGUGGUUUGGGGGACACAUUUUAUGUGUCAGUUGAAGAAUCAGUCACAAUGUUCCUGCUAGUGCUAAGCCAUGGGAUGAAAUACCGGUUAAUUGAAAGCACGUAUAGAUGGGCACUCGAGACAAUCAGUAGGCAUUUCAAUGAGAUCUUAAGAGCUGUCCUUUCCUUGUCUCAUGAGUUUAUAAAGUUACCAAGCCCUUCAGCUGAGCAGCCUGAGGAUAGUAGAUGGAAAUGGUUUCCAGAUGGGCUAGGAGCUUUAGAUGGCACACAUGUUGAUGUCCGUGUUUCCGCUCUCAAGCAAGGCAGAUACAGGAAUAGAAAGCAAGAUGUGACCACUAAUGUGCUUGGUGUUUGUGACCGGAAUAUGAAGUUUUUGUAUGUCUUAGCUGGAUGGGAAGGUUCUGCAUCAGAUUCACGAGUGUUGCGAGAUGCAAUGUCACGACAAGACGCUUUUAGAGUUCCACAUGGCAAUUCUCUGUCUUGGUACGGUAGAACAACUAAGUUAUAAUAUUUCAAUGUAAAUAUAAUAUCUAAUACUUGUUAUUUUUGCAAACAUUAGGAAAAUACUACCUUGUAGAUGCUAGGUACACUAAUGGUCCGAGCUUCUUUGCUCCAUACCGGUCAAUCUGGUACCAUUUGAAAGAAUGGGCGGCUAAUGGAAAUAACCCACAAACUCCAAGAGAGUUAUAUAAUAUGCGACAUGCAUCAGCUAGGAAUGUGAUAGAGAGAACUUUUGGUCUACUAAAGAUGAGAUGGGCUAUUUUGAGGACUAGUUCAUUUUUUCGCAUACGGAAUCAGGUAUCACAUGGUAUAUUGCAAAACCAAGCCUCCGUUUAUUUUUAGUUUUUAUUAACUCGCCAAUAAUACCAUCUCGCAGAUUCGUGUCAUUAAUGCUUGCUGCAUAUUGCAUAACUUUCUAAGAGAUAGGCAGAGAGAGAUGGAUGAUAUAAUGCUAAUUGACAUGGAUAAUCAGUUAAAUGAUGCUGCCAUCGAACAUCCCGAAGAACCAAACAUGAUUAGACAUGUUGAAUCAACAACUGAGUGGAACAACAAGCGAGAUACCUUAGCUCAUCAAAUGUGGGCAGAUUACCAAAGGAGACACGGGGGAGCCAAUCAUUGAAUUCAUUCAUUUGAAGAUAUGGAUGUGGAGAAGAGAGGAGGUAGAAACUACCUUCCUGGACGGAUGAAAUGGACGAGGCAAUGUUGAAUGUGUUCGUGGAGCAUUACAAUAGAGGGGACCGUGCUCAAAAUGGGUGGAAGCCGCAUGUUUUCACUGCAGUUGUCAAUAAUGUUCGAGCCAAGUGCAAUGUGGAUAUCACAAAGGAGAAUGUCAUAUCAAGGUGCAAGACUAUUGAUAGACACUAUGUCAAUGUCAGCAAGAUGUUGUCAACGAGUGGUUUUGGGUGGGAUUGGACCCAUAACAAGCUUAUGGUUGAUAGUGAGGACGUGUGGAGCAACUAUGUCAAGGCAAACAAAGAUGCCGCUUGCUACAGGCAUAAGGUCAUAAAGUUUUGGGACUCAAUCAGCCUUGUCUUCUUGAAGGAUCAUGCCACGGGAACCGGAGCCAGAACCGCCGCUGAAAGUGCUGCGGAAAUGGCUGCGGAGAAUGUGAACAAUGUCAACAUCGAGUCUGCCGCGACAUCUUCUACUCAAACCGGUGAGGAACAGAAGAAGAAAGAUACCGAUCAGAUGACUCAAUUGCAUCUAUGCUUGGUGAAAAACAGGAUAAUUUUACAAGCGCCUACAAAGCUGAUAUUGCUCAAGUUGUUCCUCGCGAUAAACCCUCCUCUCCCGAAGAAAUACUUGAUGCUCUCAAUGCAAUUGCUGGACUUGAUGAUGAUGACUUGCUGGCAGCUUAUGAUAUCCUCAUAGCAGAUGACCGCAAGUUCAAGGCUCUUAUGGCGCUGCCUGAAAGGAUGAAGAAGAAAUGGAUCCGCAAGCAAAUCAACCAAUGAAGGGUAACAACAAAGCCUGAAGGCCAAACUAAGAUCUAGAUGCAAGUUCAAGCCUCUUUAAUGGAUGCAAAGAUUUAUUUUUUAUGGUCCUAAUGCAUUUGUAAUGGUUUGAAGAUCUUUGUUUCCGACGAGCAUAUUCAGCCUUUAAUGGCUUUUCAAAGAUGUUAUCACUAUUAUUAUCUGCAUUAUAGAUUAUUAUAUUUGAAUGUUUGAAUGUGUGAAGAUAAUGUUGUCUAGAUCUGUUUUAUCUUGAUCAUUGAAAAAAUACACAGU